UACGAAGGGUGCAAGCGUUAAUCGGAAUUACUGGGCGUAAAGCGUGCGUAGGCGGUUGGCUAAGUCAGAUGUGAAAGCCCUGGGCUCAACCUGGGAAUGGCAUUUGAAACUGGCCGGCUAGAGUGUGAUAGAGGAUGGCGGAAUUCCCGGUGUAGCGGUGAAAUGCGUAGAGAUCGGGAGGAACAUCCGUGGCGAAGGCGGCCAUCUGGAUCAACACUGACGCUGAGGCACGAAAGCGUGGGGAGCAAAACAGGGA
rnacentral:rRNA from 1 species